rnacentral:rRNA from 4 species
AACAACUCACCUGCCGAAUGAAUUAGCCCUGAAAAUGGAUGGCGCUGAAGCGGGCGGCCGACACCUUGCCGUCUGAACAAGAAUUUCAGAUGAGUAGGAGGGCGUGGCGGCCGUGUCGAAGCACGCGUGCAGACGCUUGUGGAACGGCCGCUAGUGCAGAUCUUGGUGGUAGUAGCAAGUAUUCAAGCGAGAUCCUUGAAGGGCGAAGUGGGGAAGGGUUUCACGCGAACAUUGAUUGGGCGUGAGUGAGUCGUUCCUAAGCCGAGUGGCAAUUGCUAAUUAACGGCGAAAGGGAAGCGGGUUGACAUUCCCGCACACGGAUGUGGAGGCGGUGACGCUAUUAUUGGGGCGAACACGCUGGCGAUGGCGCUGGGCAGAGUUGUCUUUUCUGUUUGACCGCUUGCGCACGCAGUGUGGAAUCCUCUUAUAGGGAGAAACACGCGUGUACGGGCAGAGCGCUGGGGCUUUUCCAGCGUCCAGCUCGCCAUCGACGGCCCUUGAAACUUUGCCUGCUGAAUAAGAUCCACGCCGUGGCGUACCGAUAACCGCAUCAGGUCCCCAAGGUGAACAGCCUCUGCUCAAUAUGAAAAAU